GGCAACUCCGUGUUUGAGCUUCUAUUUCUUCGCAAAUCACAGGGAAAAAUUCAUACGGAAAUGUAAUCUCUCAGCUCCCCCAUGAUGAUGGUGGGUUAUCAGACCUCAUACCGUGCAGAGGGAAUUUAAUUCUGAUGAUUCUGUUAAGGUUACAGAAACCCUAAUCUGAACUAAUAUUAUGGCUUUAUUUUUCCCCUGUUUGGCUUGGAUUGUAUUAAGAAAGAUUAUCAAAUGAUUAAGAAAGAGCGAAGCAACAGCCUUAAUGUUUAUUGUUGGGGUAGCAC
rnacentral:misc_RNA from 1 species